rnacentral:lncRNA from 1 species
UAAGUAUGAUUUAAGCCAUGAUAAUGCAGUUCCAGUUACACCAACCAUGUUCUCUAGUCUUUCUAAAAGGAAGUAUUAUUAUUUCCCAGAUUUAUAUUCUAAAAGUUAAUCGCUGCCUAAAAGUGUGUAAAUUAAUGCUAUUCUAUUUUCAUUGUAUCAGUGGAAAUAUACGGUAUUUAAAUUACAAUAAAGUUAUUAAUGGAAAUAAGGGAAUCAUUCUGACAUGCCUAGAAAUAAAUAAUCACAAUAUCUUUAUUACCUGAUGUUUAAUGAUGGUAAAAAGAAGACUGUUUGUUUAAUAAAUGCUUUUUAUUACAGGAAGAUCAACUCAUUCAAUCAAUAUUCUUCCUCCUACAUUUGCUGGUGAUGACGAAGAAGCUCAGAACAGACUGAUCUCAGCGGAACGAAGAUUCAGUAAAUCAAUGUAUUUACCUCCGAAUCUGGCUGGUGAUGAUGAUGGUGAUGAAGGUCAGAACAGACUGGUUGCAGGACUGACUCCAGGCAGACAAAGCUGGAAUUCCAGGAAUGUCUCCACUCCCAAUCUGGCUUUUGGGAGAAAUGAUGAGUAAAGAAGUGAACAUUCAGCAAAAGAUCCAUUACUCACCUGCAGUGCCUCGCACCAAUACCAGCAUCACCACCAACACCAUGAAUCACCAUUAUCUCUUAAACCCUGCCCACAUCCAUGAACUGAACACACUGACCAACUCUGUACUGGUCCAUCUAGAAAAGUAUCGCAACACUGUUAACAGAAUCCCCCUGAAGGAGGCUCCUCUAACUAGAUACUGACAGUAGAAUAUAACCAGACUGGAACAUGUUCAGCAGUAUCCAUUCAUACCAGCUAGAACGGAUAAAGCUGCUGACUAACUGACAUUAGUUUCACUAAGUUCAUCUCAUCACCAAAAAAUCCUUCCGUUUUCUGUGAAUCAGCUGAAAGAAUUUGGUGUCAGGAAUCAUUUGUUUCUAUGAGCCGUUUGGCUCCUCCCUUAUUGUGAUGCAGUGGCGCAAAAAGGGGGUAUGCAGCGUGUGCGACGCAUAGGGGCGCUGCACUAGAGGGGGCGUCAAAUCAAUGCCGAUAAUCGAUUAUUUCUGUUACUAACGCCGUUACUUUUUUCAGUAACGAG